AUGACUCUCAGGAAUCCAUUCUGAUUGAGAUCCUGCUGGCCUCGGUGCAGCAGGCUGCAGAUGGACACCCACCUGCCAGGAGAGGGACUGGAAAAAAGGUCUUUCCUGCUAAAGAAAGGAAAGUUCAGGUGGAUGACUGUGACAAAAUCAUUGAACAUUUCAUUGUGCUUCCAGAACUCCUGGCCAAGCAGAUGCACACAAGGUGACUAGGAGGCUGUGUGGUCCAGUGGUUAAAGAAAGGGGCUUGUAACCAGGAGGUCCCCGGUUCAAAUCCCACCUCAGUCACUGACUCAUUGUGUGACCCUGAGCAAGUCACUUACCCUCCUUGUGCUCUGUCUGCUAAAUAAACAAAUAAUAAUAAUAAGAGUCUUCUACAGAUACCUCAGUAUUUCAGCAUGGAUGUCUACAGCACCGGCAGCCAUAUA